GCCCUAGAGUUUUGUAAGUCGCUCUGGAUAAGAGCGUCUGCUAAAUGACUUAAA
rfam:Salmo salar isolate Sally breed double haploid chromosome ssa12, whole genome shotgun sequence.